GGCGGGGUAGCUCAGCUGGUAAGAGCGCACGACUCAUAAUCGUGAGGUCGCGGGUUCGAGCCCCGCCCUCGCUACAA
rnacentral:tRNA from 1 species